CUGGGCAGAAAGCAAAACGGAGGUGGUAGGGGCGCAAGAGGAAGUAGGGACGGCCAGUGCAGCCACAGGGCUCCCAGAAAGGGAAACCCUCUCAGAAAGGGGCUUCGCACGCCCCCCGCAGUAGACCAGUCGGAGUAGUCCUGGGGCCGGAGGACGGGGGAGGGCGGGGGGUAUGAACCUGUCGCGGGCGCACGGGGUGGUCCUUGAUCCCUACCGGGGGGUGGGGGCUGCCAGAUGCCCGAGGCUAUGUGCCGUGGCCUCAACCCGUCUCUCUUCUGUUAGGACUCGGGUGAGCCAAGGAGACCAGCGCCCUCGCCCGCACUCCCCAUCGGCCCCGCCUCCACGGCCCCGCCUUCCGGGGCCCCCGCCCCACCCCUUGCCCCGCCUCCGGCCACCGCCCCCUCCUCCCGCAGCGGAGGCGCGCGGAGCUGUCUCUAUGGCCCGGGAUCCGAGCGCAAAGGCUCUAGAGGAGCGCGAGCCAGGCCUCAGGCCGCGCUGGGCGCAGAACCGCAUCCGAAGAGUCGGGCAUCGGCGCGGGGCUGGAGUCCGCGUGGCGAACAGUGUUCACCGGGAUCUGGGUCACGUCUCCCGGCACCCGGCGGGAUGGAAGGAGAGCUUGCCCUCGAGCUGCGGCAGUAGAGCCUGAGGUUAGAGCUGCCGAGAGGAGGGAGUCGCGGUCUGCCAGGAUGGUGGCAAGGGGACGGGGGAGGGGCUCUCUCAGUCCAGGAGAGACCGCCAUCCUGGGCCCCGGGAGAUGCGGCCUACACUAGGCAGGUGGACAGCUGGCAUGAAGGUUGAGAGCCUGCAGAUCCUACAUGAUCCUGUUUGGGGGGUCUCCCCUCCCUGGCUCCCUCCAACCCAGGACCUAAUGGUGGGAAAGUGGUCAGAGUUCAAGCGGCUGGCCCCAGGGAGACACCUGGACUGUGGGGCGUGGGGUGUGGGGUGUAGACUGGAGACCUUAAACCCUCUUGGCCACUGGGGGGCAGGGUGGGGGGGCUGAGGGGGUAUGCUCCGCCCCACCCACUUAGCCCCACCUUCCCAACUGAGUAAUGGGGGCCGAGAGCUCAGGCCAAACUCCCAAAUCGAGAAUGGCAGUGUUUGCACGUUUUGUUCCAUCCUUCCUUGGCCAAAGCUAGGAUCCUCCUCCCGCCUGGGCUAGGCAACCCCUCCCUCCCUUGCAGAGCAGCCUUGACCCAUGCACCCAUCCGGUUUGACGUCAGAAGCCUGCCUCCCGCUGCCCAUUCCCCCCUCACCCACACUCACUUGGCGUCUGGCCCUAGUACUGGGAGUUGUUGACUUGGGGAAGGGAGGUGGGGUUCUGCUCUGUGUCUCACCCCAGGUGGACACUGGCAGCCUCCAAGCCCACAAGGAUUGCUGAAUGCUGUAUGUCGCCUGCUUGCCUCUGGGUGGAUGUCAUCGCCUCAUAGAGUCCUCUGCGCGAACGCCCAUGUGCUUGACCCUUCUGUGAACAUGAGUGUGCCUGACCCAUUGUGUGAAUGGGUUUGUGUGCGUAUCCCUCCACACAUGUGUAUGGGCACGACCACCCAUGAAUAUGUGUCUAAUACUCCCUAUAUAGGUGUAGAUUUAUAAACCCUCCUUGUCAACCUCUGAGGAUGUGUGACCUACCGAAUGAAUAGACAGCUGAGUACAACCUUACGUGUGAAUGGGUGUGCACACAUGUGACCAUGGCCCCCUUAAUGUGUGUGUGUGCAUGACUCUCCUGUGACUACAGUUGGGUUCACAGUCACCCUUGUGAACCUGUGUGUGUGCAUGGAUCACCGCCCUCUGGACAGGUGUGAUUCUUAGAGUAGACUUGUAUGUGUGCCACUCUGACUGGUUCCUCUGACCGGGUGUGUUCCUCUUGCCCAAUCCUAGACGCCCAUCCCUGCCAGCCAACUAGCCGUCCCCUCCCGCAGUGCUGAGCAAAUAUUAAUAGAAGGCCCCAAAGUAAACAGAUGUGCCUCCACAGUGGGGGAUGGGACCCAGGGGAUGGGCCUGGGGCCUCCUGCUGCCUCAGUCCCCAGCCCAGGAGCUGUGCCUUCUCGGUGGUCCAGGGACCCUCUUCUCUCCCACUCAUCCUCCACCUCAUACUCCAUUCGCCCCUCUGGGCUCUGCCCAUGGCAGUGCUAACCUUCACCUCUUGAAUAAAUGCUCUGUUUUCCCUCUGGGAAGCUCCUGGGCAGCUCCCGGGCCCUCCCCUCUCUUCAAAGCCCAGUCGUUUCAAGGCUGAAUAUUUGACCUGGAAGGGAGGGGAGAGGCUGGUGGCCCCUCCGGCCCUGUCUUGGACCUCACCCAGCCCAGGAAGCGUUCAGGAGUCCUCAGAGGUCAGGCGACCUGUGGCCCCACCCCCAUCCCCAGCUGGUUGGCUCGAGGGAGGAUCUACGUAUGGAAUAGCCUCCAAGACAGGCUUGGGAGGUGGCCAAGAAGGGCUCAGGGACCCAACCGUUCCCCUUCUCUACAUUCCUGUCCCAGUUAACUGGUCUACCUUGAAACUACUGCCACCUGCACAGACAUUACACCCAGAAUCCCGCACGCCCCCCAGCCUAUGAGUGCCUGUUUGUAGAUAGGGCCCUGAGCAGAGCGGAUGUCUACCCAAAGGGUGCAGGGCAGACUCUGCAAGGGGCGGGGCAGAGAUGUGCACCCCCUUGAGAGGAAUGCCCGGGAGGAGAAGAGUCUAAUUAAAGAGAAAUUCCAGAGGGAGCUGGCAGGCCAGGAGAAGGAAAAACAAAGGGAAACCAGACAAAAUAAACAAAGGCCCAUUAAACCUCUCACGCAGGCCUCCGGCCACAGGCACCCCCGCAGGCAGCAGAGGCUGCGCCGCUGCCCAGGCUGGUCUCACUGUUGAGAGUGGCGGGGGCCUGCUCCCUGAGCAACCUGGAUCCCCCGAGUGGGGGCUACCUGAG
ensembl:lincRNA